CUCCUGGCAGAGGUAGCAAAUUUUCAGUCUGAAUUAAUGCAAGUGACAAAGAAACAAAUCCCAUUUUAUCACUUUAUAAUCCAGUGAGUCAAAGAUCAUCCCUACCAUGUGAAACUUUUGCAGAUAUCUUUAUUGCUAAGGGAUUCAACUGACCUCAUUUUGCUCAGUGAAAGUGUAGGACAUCCUGAUAUCUACCCUCCCAAUGAAGACUGGCUCCUUCAACAUGAGAGAGCACUGAGAGAGAGUAGCCUCAUUUUGUAGAUACUCUGUAGCUCCUGAGUGAGAGAAACUACAGAAGGAGGCACACAAAAGAAAACUGGAAGAGACCAUAGCCAGGACAGGUGACCCUAACCAGCCCAAGGGGAUAUUCCGUAACCAUAGAACGCCAUGCCCAGUGUAUAAACUGGAGGAGUUACCUAGAAUGGGGACCAUUCUGGGUUUGGAAACAGGGUCUGGCAUCCCCCAGUAAGUGGUGAGCAACUGUGUUGUGUACCACUUGUU